UACGGAGGGUGCAAGCGUUAUCCGGAAUGAUUGGGCGUAAAGCGUCCGCAGGUGGCUAUGUAAGUCUGCUGUUAAAGAGUCUAGCUCAACUAGAUAAGAGCAGUGGAAACUACAAGGCUAGAGUACGUUCGGGGCAGAGGGAAUUCCUGGUGUAGCGGUGAAAUGCGUAGAGAUCAGGAAGAACACCAGUGGCGAAGGCGCUCUGCUGGGCCGUAACUGACACUGAGGGACGAAAGCUAGGGGAGCGAAUGGG
rnacentral:rRNA from 1 species